GUCUUUUUGAUUAAUAAUUUAAAGUCUAAUCUGCCCACUGAUAAUAAAUUAAAGGGCUGCAGUAUUUUGACUGUACAAAGGUAGCAUAAUCAUUAGUCUCUUAAUUGGUGACUUGUAUGAAGGAUUUGAUGAAAUAUAUUCUGUCUCUAUUUAAUUUAUAAAAUUUAAUUUUUUAGUUAAAAAGCUAAAAUUUGUUUAAAAGACGAGAAGACCCUAUAGAGUUUUAUAUUUAUAUAAAUUAAAAUUUUAUAUAAGAUUUAAAAUUUUAAUUUAUAUAAAUAUUUUAUUGGGGAGAUAGAAAAAUUAAAAUAACUUUUUUUAUAAUUUUACAUUAAUAAAUGAAUAAAUGAUCCGUAAUUUACGAUUAUAAGAUAAAAUUACCUUAGGGAUAACAGCGUAAUUUUUUUUUUUAGUUCAAAUAAGAAAAAGAGUUUGCGACCUCGAUGUUGGAUUAAGAUAAAAUUUAAAUGCAAAAGUUUAAAAUUUUUGAUCUGUUCGAUCAUUAAAAUCUUACA
rnacentral:rRNA from 1 species